UACGUAGGGUGCAAGCGUUGUCCGGAAUUAUUGGGCGUAAAGAGCUCGUAGGCGGUUUGUUGCGUCGGCUGUGAAAACCUGAGGCUCAACCUCAGGCCUGCAGUCGAUACGAGCAGACUAGAGUGUUGCAGGGGAGACUGGAAUUCCUGGUGUAGCGGUGAAAAUGCGCGAGAUAUCGAGGAGGAACCACCGGUGGCGAAGGCGGGUCUCUGGGCC
rnacentral:rRNA from 1 species